AUUUAAAUGACGAGUCCUAAACAGGACGAAAUGCUCAUCCUGGAU
rnacentral:hammerhead_ribozyme from 1 species